UUUUGAGUUUGAUUCCUGGCUCAGAUUGAACGCUGGCGGCAGGCCUAACACAUGCAAGUCGAGCGGUAGCACAGAGAGCUUGCUCUCGGGUGACGAGCGGCGGACGGGUGAGUAAUGUCUGGGAAACUGCCUGAUGGAGGGGGAUAACUACUGGAAACGGUAGCUAAUACCGCAUAACGUCGCAAGACCAAAGAGGGGGACCUUCGGGCCUCUUGCCAUCAGAUGUGCCCAGAUGGGAUUAGCUAGUAGGUGGGGUAAUGGCUCACCUAGGCGACGAUCCCUAGCUGGUCUGAGAGGAUGACCAGCCACACUGGAACUGAGACACGGUCCAGACUCCUACGGGAGGCAGCAGUGGGGAAUAUUGCACAAUGGGCGCAAGCCUGAUGCAGCCAUGCCGCGUGUAUGAAGAAGGCCUUCGGGUUGUAAAGUACUUUCAGCGAGGAGGAAGGCAUUGUGGUUAAUAACCGCAGUGAUUGACGUUACUCGCAGAAGAAGCACCGGCUAACUCCGUGCCAGCAGCCGCGGUAAUACGGAGGGUGCAAGCGUUAAUCGGAAUUACUGGGCGUAAAGCGCACGCAGGCGGUCUGUCAAGUCGGAUGUGAAAUCCCCGGGCUCAACCUGGGAACUGCAUUCGAAACUGGCAGGCUAGAGUCUUGUAGAGGGGGGUAGAAUUCCAGGUGUAGCGGUGAAAUGCGUAGAGAUCUGGAGGAAUACCGGUGGCGAAGGCGGGCCCCCUGGACAAAGACUGACGCUCAGGUGCGAAGAGCGUGGGGAGCAAACAGGAUUAGAUACCCUGGUAGUCCACGCCGUAAACGAUGUCGACUUGGAGGUUGUUCCCUUGAGGAGUGGCUUCCGGAGCUAACGCGUUAAGUCGACCGCCUGGGGAGUACGGCCGCAAGGUUAAAACUCAAAUGAAUUGACGGGGGCCCGCACAAGCGGUGGAGCAUGUGGUUUAAUUCGAUGCAACGCGAAGAACCUUACCUACUCUUGACAUCCACGGAAUUUAGCAGAGAUGCUUUAGUGCCUUCGGGAACCGUGAGACAGGUGCUGCAUGGCUGUCGUCAGCUCGUGUUGUGAAAUGUUGGGUUAAGUCCCGCAACGAGCGCAACCCUUAUCCUUUGUUGCCAGCGGUUCGGCCGGGAACUCAAAGGAGACUGCCAGUGAUAAACUGGAGGAAGGUGGGGAUGACGUCAAGUCAUCAUGGCCCUUACGAGUAGGGCUACACACGUGCUACAAUGGCGCAUACAAAGAGAAGCGACCUCGCGAGAGCAAGCGGACCUCAUAAAGUGCGUCGUAGUCCGGAUUGGAGUCUGCAACUCGACUCCAUGAAGUCGGAAUCGCUAGUAAUCGUAGAUCAGAAUGCUACGGUGAAUACGUUCCCGGGCCUUGUACACACCGCCCGUCACACCAUGGGAGUGGGUUGCAAAAGAAGUAGGUAGCUUAACCUUCGGGAGGGCGCUUACCACUUUGUGAUUCAUGACUGGGGUGAA
rnacentral:rRNA from 1 species